UCCGCGCGCUCAGGAAGGGCGGGGAGGCUGGCUUUGGGAGAAGUUCCUCCUCUCCCUAGUCACCCUCCGGCCAAGGCCAUCAAAAAAACAUGAGGGGGCCAGGGAGGGGUCCCAGGGGUCCCCGUGUGAACGUAUCUGUGACUCUGCUUUAAGGUGCAGGGAGGAGGAAGCAGACAGCGGAGGGAGCCGGGGAGAGGCCCGCGCUCACCCUGGGGUGGGGCAGGAGCACAGGCAGGUGUGAUGCAAGGAGGGUCAGCGCCCCGUCUUCCCACCCGUUCCCCCCUGAAGCCUCAGGUCCUCCCUGAGCGAAGCCUGCUUGUGUACAAAGUACAAAGAUGUCUCCCCGCAGAACAGAUGGGUGACCUGGGCGGGGAAGGGGAAGCUGGAGACCCCUGGUGGUUCUCAGCUCAGGCCCAGUGGCAGAGAGAGUUUACUGCCCAGCAAAGAUUCACUCCUCCCCUGGGGAUGUGAAACUGGUUGGGAGCAGCAGCUCCCCAGCCAAGGACUGCAUUUCCCAGCAACUCCUGCAUCUGGGCCCUGUGUGACAGCGGGCCCUACCGGCAGACAGCGAGCAGAAGUGAGACUGCACAUCCUGGGAACCAAAACUAGAAUGAUGGCAACAUUUGGCAACUAUAUAUGUCUGCUUGGGCUACCAUAGCAAAAUGCCAUAGAUUGAAUGACUUAAACAACAGAAAUGUAUUUUGUUUGUAAAGACAGGAAAGUCCAAGAUCAAGGUGAUGGCAAGGAUCCUGACCUCCCUCCUCUGUCUCCGUAUCUAUCUGGGGGAAGUCUCCACCUGCUCACUAGCGGGGCUGCCCAGCCACUGCAUAGCACCAGCCAUCUUGCUUCUCUCCUGCUCCAAUGCUGAGGUCUCCAAAACUCAAAAGUGCUGCCAAAGUACCAAGUCACCCCACAGACCAUGGAAAAACCAGCCUCCAGCACGGCCAAGUCCACUGCCUCCUGUUGCCGCUUCCCCUGAGUCUGCAGUGCCAGUCCUGAGAAGGUGCUCCUGGUGCCGGCGCUACAGAAGUGCCAACGCCUGCCACCUGUCACAGCUGGGGCCCAGCGUCCUGACCCACUGAAGCCCUCCCACCUUUGCUCUGGGCUGUGUUACAGCUUUCAGACAAACAGCUUUCCUCCCCCCCUUCAGUAUUCAGCACAGCUCUCUGUCCACACUGCAUAGAGCAUGCACUUAAUAGGCGCUCAA